GGGGAAUAUUGCGCAAUGGGCGAAAGCCUGACGCAGCGACGCCGCGUGAAGGAAGACGGUUUUCGGAUUGUAAACUUCUAUCGAUAGGGACGAAAAAAAUGACGGUACCUAAAUAAGAAGCCCCGGCUAACUACGUGCCAGCAGCCGCGGUAAUGCGUAGGGGGCAAGCGUUAUCCGGAAUUACUGGGUAUAAAGGGUGAGUAGGCGGCAUGAUAAGUAAGAUGUGAAAGCCCGCAGCUUAACUGCGGGAUUGCAUUGUAAACUAUUGAGCUAGAGUACAGGAGAGGAAAGCGGAAUUCCCAGUGUAGCGGUGAAAUGCGUAGAUAUUGGGAAGAACACCAGUGGCGAAGGCGGCUUUCUGGACUGAAACUGACGCUGAGGCACGAAAGCGUGGGGAGCGAAC
rnacentral:rRNA from 1 species